AGCACCGGUCACACAGGGCAGGUGGAGUGGAGCCCGGCCCACGGAAAACAUUUUUUCCCCCUUAGAAAAUCAUAGCCCUGAUUGUACAGCCCUCUGCUUUACCUGUGAAAGAAGUUUCAUACCAAAUAUCAGAUCCGGAAGCUCCAAUUCAAAGAGACUCGCACAGAAAGAACCAACUCAUACCACGUUUUGAAAAUAUUUUAAAUCAACCAGUUUAACUACAAAACCAGGUGUAAUCACUACGGACUUUCUUGAUAUACUAUUCUACAUAGGAAACCCAAAGUCCAGAAAACCAACUGAAGAUACGGCAAGUGUGGACGAUGUGUGGAUGGAUGUGCACAGCCCUCCCUACUCCCACGAAGGUGACAACAGACUUCAUGUGCCCAUGCUGAAGAGCUCUCCUGACUGUGAAUCAGCAGACUGUUUCCAGCUCCCCUUUCUGUGAUUUUAUGACGCCUAAGUAAUAUCAUCUGGGACACUGGCUUAAAAGAACACUGCUUUGUUUGUAUACUAUAAGCUUACCCUCACCAUCCUUCCGUUCUUCACAAAGUCCUACAUGCAAACAGCCAAGAAUUAAAGACAGUCUUAUCCUAUAUUGUCCAUUGCAAAUCCUCCCAAUCCCAUUAAUGGGAAUACUCAUUAGACAGGAUUUCCAUCAGAGUCCAGAAUGCACCAGCCUUGCUCUGAUUUAAUUGAUUUGAUAAAUCCCCACAUUAAUUAGCUGGCUUCCCGUAGGCUGGGAGUGGGGGCACCAAUGUGAGGUGAAAGACGUCCGCGCUGAGCCCUGCAUCUUGCUGUGUGUGGCCGGGGGAAAGGAAUUCUCUCAAGCUGACUGAGGCUUAGAUUUCUCACCUGUGAAAUGGGAAGAAAAUGGCACUUUCCUUGUAGCAGUUCCAGGUAUGUCAGUGGAUUGGGGCACUCUGAAGUGUUCCAAAGGUUGGGGCUUGUUACUGACCAAGGCUUGGCAGGAAUCUCAGAGUUAAGUCAAAAGGAUGAAAUGCAGCAUUUGAUCCUGAGCACCUACCCAGGAAGAAGAUCACAAAUUAUGAGCAGCAGACGACCGAGGGGUGAGAUUGGGAAGAGGCGCACAGACCAGGCAAUUAUCAACCAGAGAUCCUCCCAGAUUAUCAGGAAGGAAGGCGGGAUCCCAUGUCAGUUGCUGUGUUUAGGAGUGGGAGCCAUCUGCUCCAGCAAGCCUGGAAGGGACCAUCCAUCAUUGUAACAUGCUUUCCUCCUACAUUUGUUGCAGACACUGUAAAUAUCUCUUCGGUCUUUC